GUGGUGGCCCAGCGGUAGAGCGCUCGCCUAGCACAUGUGUGAGGCAGUGGGUUCGAUCCUCAGCACCACG
rnacentral:tRNA from 1 species